rnacentral:rRNA from 1 species
GACGAACGCUGGCGGCGUGCCUAAUACAUGCAAGUUGAGCGCUGAAGGUUGGUCCUUGUACCAACUGGAUGAGCAGCGAACGGGUGAGUAACGCGUGGGUAAUCUGCCUUUGAGCGGGGGACAACAUUUGGAAACGAAUGCUAAUACCGCAUAAAAACUUUAAACACAAGUUUUAAGUUUGAAAGAUGCAAUUGCAUCACUCAAAGAUGAUCCCGCGUUGUAUUAGCUAGUUGGUGAGGUAAAGGCUCACCAAGGCGAUGAUACAUAGCCGACCUGAGAGGGUGAUCGGCCACAUUGGGAAUGAGACACGGCCCAAACUCCUACGGGAAGGAGCAGUAGGGAAACUUUGGCAAUAGACGAAAGGCUGACCGAGGAAAGCCGCGUGAGGGAAGAAGGUUUUCGGAUCGUAAAACUCUGUUGGUAGAGAAGAACGGUGGUGAGAGUGGAAAGCUCAUCAAGUGACGGUAACUACACAGAAAGGGACGGCUAACUACGUG